UGGUGGAGUGAUUUGUCUGGUUAAUUCCGUGAACGAACGAGACCUUGGCUUACUAUUAGAUGACGCAAAGCGGCCUCUGGUCGCUUUGCGGUUACCAUCCUCGCGAUGGAAGAAUGGAAACAUUCUUGCUUCUUAGAAGGACGUUUUGUAUACAGCAAAAGGAAGUUCAAGGCAACAACA
rnacentral:rRNA from 1 species